GUCCGCACCUCAAUUCAGGAUCCUUGCUGGGUUUCCUGGUGUAGUAUGAGCGACACCUGGUGGUUGAAAGCAUAAACUGCACGUCAUGUUCUCGGGGAUGCGGGGGACACCGCUUACCGGAACCCCAGCCUUCUGUGGGCAACGGUGGGACCAGGCCUUGAGCGUAGCAGCACCUUCCCGAGGACUUCACACAGAGGCAGCGGGGUACCGCUAUGGGAACCACAACCACGUCAGGUGGCGUUCAUUCAUCCACUCCCGCCGACACAUACUGAGUGCGCAUGCUCCCCGGCAUGCUGGGCAUUUGGGAUAGAGAUGAAGAAAACAGUCACGUGCCCGGCUUCACGGAGCUUACACCAUAAUGGGGGGGCAGAGAAGCAUGUAAGUAAUGAGAGAGUUUCACAUUGUGUUAAGUACUAUGAGAAUUUGCAACAUUGAUGAUUAGUCCAGGAGUUCCCACUGUGGCUCAGUGGGUUAAGAACCCAACUAGUAUCCAUGAAGAUGUGCAUUCAAUCCUUGGCCUCACUCAGUGGGUUAAGGAUCUGGCAUUGCGGUGAGCUGUGGUGCAGGUCGCAGAUGCCGCUCGGAUCCCACGUUGCUGUGGCUGUGGCUGUGGCGUAGGCCGGCAGCUGUAGCUCCGAUUUGACCCCUAGCCUGGGAACUUCCAUUUGCCACAGGUGCAGCCCUAAAAAGACCCCACCCCCCGCAAAAAAAAAAGGACUGGCCUGCAGCCUCUUGGGUCCCUGUGGAGGUGCAGGUUUGAUCCCAGCCAGGGCAGUGGAUUAAAGGAUCCAGCAUUGCUGCAGCUGUGCGUAGGUCCCAAAGGUCACAGCUGUGACUCAGAUUCAGGCCUUGGCCCAGGAGCUUCCAUAUGCCAUGGGGGCACCCAUAAAAAAAUUAAAAAAAGAAAGAAAGAAAAGACUAGUGUCCAGAGUCUUUCUCAGGGCUUUAGUGGCCAUCUCAGCCUCAUCUCCCAAUAUCCACGUUGGCAGGGGCCAAGCCCCAAUCUCACAAAGCCCCCUGCAAGUCUCGAUCUGGGGGGCUGCCAGGUCGCAGUGCCUUUUGCAUAUGCUGUUCCAUCUAGGUCCGGUGCCCUUCCUCCUCACCCCCCCUGACAAAUCCCACUUGUCUUUUACAGCUAACCUCAAGGGCCACAUCUUCCAUGAAGUCUACCCUGAUGCUCCAUGGGGAGAAUCAGCCCUCUUGCCUCCUAGCCUAUUCGUCAUUCACCUUGUAUGGAAUCUUCUAGAAGAUGACAUGAGUCGGGACGUGCUUAGCUCAGCGCCCGGCACCAGGUAACUAUCAUGGACAUAGGAGGUAUUCUCCUUUUCUCUCUGGCUGCCUUUAAAAUCUUCUCUUUGUGUUUGAUGUCUUUGAAUUUCAUGCUGCUGUGUCUUGGCUGGAUGGCCUUCUAUUUAUCAAGCUAAGCAUGUCGUGUCAUGUGUCCAUUUAAAGUUCUCAGCCAUUAUCAUGUCACACGUUGCCUCUUCCUCAUUCUGUCUGUCCCCUUCUGGGACUCCGGUUUCUUGCGUGGUUGAUAUUCUUCCUCCGUCUUGCGUGGUUGAUAUUCUUCCUCUGUCUUUGCUGUCUCUCUCUUAUCUUCUAUAUCUUUGUCUGGGUUGAAUUCAAAGUCAAUUUUUUUCACAUCUAUAAUCCAGUUUAUUCACUUCAUCUCUGUCUUAAGCUGCCAUUUAAUAUAUCAAGCACCUACUUCAGUUGUUACAUUUUUUUUAGAUAUAUUAUUUAGCUCUUUUUCACAUCUGCCCAGAUCAUCUUACAUCUUAUUUAUACUUUCAAUACCCUCUUUUGCAUCUUUAGAGAUAUGAAAUAUAUUUAUUCUAUAAUCUCUGUGUGAUAAUUCCAAUAUUUCAGAUCUUUUCUGGAGUUCCUGUCAUGGCUGAGUGGAAAUGAACCCAACUAGGAUCCAUGAGGAUUCAGGUUCAAUCCGUGGCCUCGCUAAGUGGAUUAAGGCUCUGGUGUUGCUGUGAGCUCUGGUGUAGGUCACAGAUGUGGCUCAGGUCCUGCGUUGCUGUGGCUGUGGUGUAGGCUGGAGCUGCAGCUCUGAUUCGAUCCCUAGCCUGGGCUUCCAUCUGCCGAGGGUGCGGCUCUAAAAAACAAAC
rnacentral:lncRNA from 1 species